AGCUUGUUCUCCGAAAAUGGUGUGAAUUGAUUCCUGGGGCUGAGUUUCGAUGUUUUGUCAAGGAAAACAAGCUUAUUGGUAUUUCUCAAAGAGACUACACACAAUACUAUGAUCAUAUUUCUAAACAAAAGGAAGAAAUUUGCAGAUGUAUACAAGACUUUUUCAAGAAACACAUACAGUACAAAUUCUUAGAUGAAGACUUUGUGUUUGAUAUAUACAGAGACAGUAGGGUAAGUAAAAACUCUGUCUGAUAUGCUUUAAAAUAAGAGCUGGUUUUAUAAGCAGGCAGAGCAUGCCUUUGCUAUGUGUGUGAAGGAUCUACUGCUCAAAAAAUAUUUUGUCUGGGUGCAGCAGCUCACGCCUGUAUUCCCAGCACUUUGGGAGGCUGAGGCAGGGACAUCAUUUGAG